CGUAGUUUGAUCAUGGCUCAGAUUAGAACGCUGGCGGAAUGCUUUACACAUGCAAGUCGAACGGUAGAGGGGGCAACCCUUGAGAGUGGCGAACGGGUGAGUAAUAUAUCGGAACGUGCCCAGUCGUGGGGAUAACGUAGCGAAAGUUACGCUAAUACCGCAUACGAUCUAAGGAUGAAAGCGGGGGAUCGCAAGACCUCGCGCGAUUGGAGCGGCCGAUAUCAGAUUAGGUAGUUGGUGAGGUAAAGGCUCACCAAGCCGACGAUCUGUAGCUGGUCUGAGAGGACGACCAGCCACACUGGGACUGAGACACGGCCCAGACUCCUACGGGAGGCAGCAGUGGGGAAUUUUGGACAAUGGGCGCAAGCCUGAUCCAGCAAUGCCGCGUGCAGGAUGAAGGCCUUCGGGUUGUAAACUGCUUUGUACGGAACGAAACGGUGAGCUCUAAUACAGUUUGCUAAUGACGGUACCGUAAGAAUAAGCACCGGCUAACUACGUG
rnacentral:rRNA from 1 species